rnacentral:rRNA from 1 species
GUGGGAUGACGUCAAGUCCUCAUGGCCUUUAUGCCCAGGGCUACACACGUGCUACAAUGGGUGGUACAAAGAGAUGCAAUCUCGCAAGAGCAAGCAAACCUCAAAAAGCCAUCCUCAGUUCGGAUUGGAGUCUGCAACUCGACUCCAUGAAGUCGGAAUCGCUAGUAAUCGCGGAUCAGCACGCCGCGGUGAAUACGUUCCCGGGCCUU